UGGGGAGAUAGCUCAGUUGGUAGAGUGUUUGCCUCAUAAGCACAAAGCCCUGGGUUCGAUCCCCAGCACUGCAAAA